rnacentral:rRNA from 1 species
UACGGAGGGUGCAAGCGUUGUUCGGAAUUACUGGGCGUAAAGCGCGUGUAGGCGGUUCGGUAAGUGGGUUGUGAAAGCCCCGAGCUCAACUCGGGAAUUGCGUCCGAAACUGCCGGACUGGAGACCCGGAGAGGAAGGCAGAAUUUCCAAUGUAGGGGUGAAAUCCGUAGAUAUUGGGAGGAAUACCGGCUGCGAAGGCGGCCUUCUGGACGGUGACUGACGCUGAGACGCGAAAGCGUGGGGAGCAAACAGG